GGGCGAGAGUAGUACUAGGAUGGGUGACCCCCUGGGAAGUCCUCGUGUUGCACCCCCYAUCGCCCUUCUUUUUCAUUUUUUUUUGCUUUUUUAGGGGAAGGUAACGAAAGGAAACGCGCGUACGGGUGAACGUGGCUUAUAAAAAGAGCACGCGCGACGUAAAAACUCGCAACGUGCGGUACCGAACCGUGAAAAUAAAGGCACAAAAUCGGAUAAUCGUAACGGUUGGGAAUGUAGGAGUAAAAAGGNNNNNGGAAAA
rnacentral:rRNA from 1 species